GGCACUUUGGCGGAGUGGUUAACGCGAUGCCCUGCUAUAAAUGUAGUGCGAAAGGCAUUCCCUUCGGGGGCGUGUGUUCGAAUCACACAGGUGUCG